AUAGCGUAUAUUAAAGUUGUUGCAGUUAAAAAGCUCGUAGUUGAACUUUGGGCCUGGCUGGUCGGUCCGCCUAACCGCGUGCACUGAUUCGGCCGGGUCUUUCCUUCUGGCUAACCCCAUGCCCUUCACUGGGUGUGGUGGGGAUCCAGGACUUUUACUUUGAAAAAAUUAGAGUGUUCAAAGCAGGCCUAUGCUCGAAUACAUUAGCAUGGAAUAAUAGAAUAGGACGGCGGUUCUAUUUUGUUGGUUUCUAGAGCCACCGUAAUGAUUAAUAGGGAUAGUCGGGGGCAUCAGUAUUCAAUUGUCAGAGGUGAAAUUCUUGGAUUUAUUGAAGACUAACUACUG
rnacentral:rRNA from 1 species